rnacentral:lncRNA from 1 species
UUAUAAUCUAACAGUGAUAUUUCUACUAAUGAACGUUUGUGGAUCUGUUUGUACUCUUUUUCUGCUUUCCUUUCAAAUGGUGGAAUAUCAUUUCCUUGCAUACUUAGAUGCCUUUGAAUGACAAAUAUUUAUUUGUCUCUAAAAAUUAUUUUUGUGCACUUUUGCGGAUUAGUAAAUAGGAAAUUUGCCAAAGAGAAUUUCAAUUGUUUUGUGAUUCUACUAAAGACACCACCAUUCUGGGACCACAUUAUGUUAAUUCUUGGCCUAAAGGUGUUCGGACGUAUGUUUGGACUGCACAUUUAAACAAUUUUUAAAUUAGUUGCUGUAAAUCAUUAACGAUUGAGUUUCUUUAAAUCUGUCCAAUCUCAAGUCAUUUUUAUUUGCCAUUUCCAGGGAAUGUGAAAUGGGACUAAUUUACCUCUGAUUCUUCUUUAUACUGAGGAUAUAAAUUUUGGUCCUAGCUUUAGGGAGGAGCUCCUGUGUGAUGCCCUAUCUUGGGAAAAUCUAUGUAUUUCUUUACUCUCCUAUGUGAUGUAUGACAGUAGGAAUCUGCACUCAUUCAUUUUGCUACAUGUCCGUAGGGCAAAAUCAGUUUCGGUGUUUAGUUAUAUUUUGUCUGCUCCCUGCAUUCCCAUUGUUUUGCCAUUAUAUUUUACUUUUAUUUGUGAACAUACCAGUGCUUCAAAUUUUUUCCAGUAAUAUAUUCAACUAUAUUAUGAGAAAGAGAAAAAUUUUGAUAAAACACAAAUUUCAUGUUUUCCUUCUCUAAUUGGCUUCUACCUAAAAAUACAGGUAAAAUUUAUUUGUGCUUUUUUGCUAUUUCAGUUUUGCUAUUCUCUGUUUGUCUAUGUCUUCUCCACAUAGACACAAUUAGGGAAUUUUGUACACUCUUGUGCCAACUGCUUUGAUAGUAAUAAAAUGUAUUUCUCGAACUCCUAGGUAUAAAACUCAAGUAUCCACAAUUUAAAUUCUUUUUUGCUCACUUCUAUUAUGUUUCCAGUCUCAAUAGAAAUCGAUGCCAAUCCAGAAAUACAAGCAUUAUUCUAAUACUUCUCACACAUUACAGGGCAGAGAAGAUCCAGAGAAAGCCCAAGUGGCUGCUGGAACAAAGUCAGACACCGUGCCACCUGUCCACACUCCUUGGCUCUGCCAUCAUGCUGAAGAUUGGUUUAAAGGUCUGGCUUCCCUCCCCGCAAAAUUAAAAGAGCACAAACUGAGAAACUGAAUGUGGGAGACAGCAGUGGGUUAUGCUGUUCUCAGGGGUCACCUCAGGUUUGGAAGCGUUCUUUCAAAUUAACCCAUCUCAGGCCAUCUGCAGAGAAGAAAGGUGGUACCUAACAUUUUUUCUUGUCAGCACUUGGUAGGGGUGUUUUAUUGACCAAAUAUGUUCCCACAACCUAGUUUUUUGUAACUAAAUAUAGUAGAUUUUUAAAUUUUAUCAUCAAAAUCUAUAGACAAUUUUUUAUUAAAAUAGGCUCCACAUCUAUGUCCUGCUUUUCUUCUUAUUAAUUACAUUGCUGUAUGAAAGAACAAGACUUCAGAAUCAAGAAUAUCUUGUCUCUUGGCAUUGAAUUUAUACAAGGUGCUCUUUCUUUAAUGCUGUCUCAAAGGGCAUAUUUUUACUCAUUAAAAAGGAAGAUCAGAAUCUAGUUGUAUGCACUGCUCCAACGUAUUAAUAAUUAAAAUUAGGAUGUAAAUGUGGUCAAAGCUAUAGAAAGAUUUGGGAUGUCGUUUAUAUUGAUUACUGUAUAGCACUCUACAAACAGAAAUUGUGAAAUAAUAGCUUAUAUAAAUAUUUUGUAGCAUUUCAAAUAUUAGAGUGCCUGAAGUUUCUCCUCUUAUAUAGUUCAGAUUAUCAAUUUGAAUAGUUACUCCACUGGUUAAAAAGUUUUUAGUCUCGUUUCAGUAUUAAUAUAAAAGCAAUUUUCAGUUAAAAGUGUUCCGCUUACAUAAAACAUUAGAAACUAGUGAGUAUUUAAUUACAUUUUCGUAUUCCUGUAAUGCCUUUAGAAGAUUUUCAUAUUAUUACCUAUCAAUAUAUGUAUGCUUUGUCUAAGAAAAAUCAAUCAUAUACAUCAUUGAAAUGGAAACUUUUUAAAAGUACUUAUUAAUUCUAUUGAAAAACCACAUCCAUAGGAGCAAUUACAAUAUAAUAUUGUGAACAUGUAAAUAUAUAUCCUAUGUCUAUUUUAUAUAGAAGCAUAUGUGAUUAAAAAUAUAGUUAAUAAUUUUUAAACCUAGUUUCAUAAAGUAAAAAUUAGUUAAACUUCUGAUGAUUAUUUGUUAAUUAAGAUAAAAUU